GUGCCAGCAGCCGCGGUAAUACGGAGGAUGCAAGCGUUAUCCGGAUUUAUUGGGUUUAAAGGGUGCGUAGCGGACAUUAAGUCAGCGGUGAAAUAUCCCGGCUCAACCGGGAGGCUGCCGUUGAUACUGAUGGUCUCGAGUCCGAACGGCGCCGGCGGAAUAUGUAAUGUAGCGGUGAAAUGCAUAGAUAUUACAUAGAACACCGAUCGCGAAGGCAGCUGGCGAGGACGGCACUGACGCUGAGGCACGAAGGUGCGGGGAUCAAACAGGAUUAGAUACCCUGGUAGUCCGCACAGUAAACGAUGAUGACUUGUUGUCGGCGAUAGACUGUCGGCGACAAAGCGAAAGCGAUAAGUCAUCCACCUGGGGAGUACGAUCGCAAGGUUGAAACUCAAAGGAAUUGACGGGGGCCCGCACAAGCGGAGGAGCAUGUGGUUUAAUUCGAUGAUACGCGAGGAACCUUACCCAGACUCAAAUGUUGGACGACGGAUCCGGAAACGGGUCUUUCUACGGACGUCCAGCAAGGUGCUGCAUGGUUGUCGUCAGCUCGUGCCGUGAGGUGUCAGGUUAAGUCCUAUAACGAGCGCAACCCCUACGUCCAGUUGCCAGCGGGUAGAGCCGGGGACUCUGGAGGGACUGCCGGCGCAAGCCGAGAGGAAGGUGGGGUUGACGUCAAAUCAGCACGGCCCUUACGUCUGGGGCGACACACGUGCUACAAUGGCCGGUACAGAGGGCAGCCACCCCGCGAGGGGGAGCGAAUCUCGAAAGCCGGUCUCAGUUCGGAUCGGAGUCUGCAACCCGACUCCGUGAAGUUGGAUUCGCUAGUAAUCGCGCAUCAGCCAUGGCGCGGUGAAUACGUUCCCGGGCCUUGUACACACCGCCCGU
rnacentral:rRNA from 1 species